UUAAUGUUUGUAUUGAUUCAGACACAGGCUAUUCGGCAUAAAUACGGCGCCGAAGCGCCGAAGCACGUUCUCGCUUCCACAGGUUCGAGGGGUUGAAGGCCAUCGGCCUUUCAUUAAUGAUCCCUCCGCAGGUUCACCUACGGAGA
rnacentral:misc_RNA from 1 species